rnacentral:sRNA from 1 species
CAUUGGUAGCAUUCAAUUCAAUAUAGCAAGUUAAAAUAAGGCUUUGUUCGUCAUCAGCUUCUAGGAGCAAGCGCUGUCUCGGCGCUUUUUUU